UACGUAGGGUGCGAGCGUUAAUCGGAAUUACUGGGCGUAAAGCGUGCGCAGGCGGUGAUGUAAGACAGUUGUGAAAUCCCCGGGCUCAACCUGGGAACUGCAUCUGUGACUGCAUCGCUGGAGUGCGGCAGAGGGGGAUGGAAUUCCGCGUGUAGCAGUGAAAUGCGUGGAUAUGCGGAGGAACACCGAUGGCGAAGGCAAUCCCCUGGGCCUGCACUGACGCUCAUGCACGAAAGCGUGGGGAGCAAACAGG
rnacentral:rRNA from 1 species